rnacentral:rRNA from 1 species
GGUCAAGUGAAGAAGCGCAUACGGUGGAUGCCUUGGCAGUCAGAGGCGAUGAAAGACGUGGUAGCCUGCGAAAAGCUUCGGGGAGUCGGCAAACAGACUGUGAUCCGGAGAUGUCUGAAUGGGGGAACCCAGCCAUCACAAGAUGGUUAUCUUACACUGAAUACAUAGGUGUAAGAGGCGAACCAGGGGAACUGAAACAUCUAAGUACCCUGAGGAAAAGAAAUCAACCGAGAUUCCCUUAGUAGUGGCGAGCGAACGGGGACCAGCCCUUAAGUUGUAUUGAGAUUAGCGGAACGCUCUGGAAAGUGCGGCCAUAGUGGGUGAUAGCCCUGUACGCGAAAAUCCCUUUGCAAUGAAAUCGAGUAGGACGGGGCACGAGAAACCUUGUCUGAAUAUGGGGGGACCAUCCUCCAAGGCUAAAUACUACUGACUGACCGAUAGUGAACCAGUACCGUGAGGGAAAGGCGAAAAGAACCGCGGAGAGCGGAGUGAAAUAGAUCCUGAAACCGUAUGCGUACAAGCAGUGGGAGCCCACUUUGUUGGGUGACUGCGUACCUUUUGUAUAAUGGGUCAGCGACUUAUUUUCAGUGGCGAGCUUAACCGAAUAGGGAGGCGUAGCGAAAGCGAGUCUUAAUAGGGCGUCUAGUCGCUGGGAAUAGACCCGAAACCGGGCGAUCUAUCCAUGGGCAGGUUGAAGGUUGGGUAACACUAACUGGAGGACCGAACCGACUACCGUUGAAAAGUUAGCGGAUGACCUGUGGAUCGGAGUGAAAGGCUAAUCAAGCUCGGAGAUAGCUGGUUCUCCUCGAAAGCUAUUUAGGUAGCGCCUCAUGUAUCACUGUAGGGGUAGAGCACUGUUUCGGCUAGGGGGUCAUCCCGACUUACCAAACCGAUGCAAACUCCGAAUACCUACAAGUGCCGAGCAUGGGAGACACACGGCGGGUGCUAACGUCCGUCGUGAAAAGGGAAACAACCCAGACCGUCAGCUAAGGUCCCAAAGUCAUGGUUAAGUGGGAAACGAUGUGGGAAGGCUUAGACAGCUAGGAGGUUGGCUUAGAAGCAGCCACCCUUUAAAGAAAGCGUAAUAGCUCACUAGUCGAGUCGGCCUGCGCGGAAGAUGUAACGGGGCUCAAACCAUGCACCGAAGCUACGGGUAUCACCUUUGGUGAUGCGGUAGAGGAGCGUUCUGUAAGCCUGUGAAGGUGAGUUGAGAAGCUUGCUGGAGGUAUCAGAAGUGCGAAUGCUGACAUGAGUAACGACAAUGGGUGUGAAAAACACCCACGCCGAAAGACCAAGGUUUCCUGCGCAACGUUAAUCGACGCAGGGUUAGUCGGUCCCUAAGGCGAGGCUGAAAAGCGUAGUCGAUGGAAAACAGGUUAAUAUUCCUGUACUUCUGGUUAUUGCGAUGGAGGGACGGAGAAGGCUAGGCCAGCCUGGCGUUGGUAGUCCAGGUUUAAGGUGGUAGGCUGAGAUCUUAGGUAAAUCCGGGAUCUUAAGGCCGAGAGCUGAUGACGAGUGUUCUUUUAGAACAUGAAGUGGUUGAUGCCAUGCUUCCAAGAAAAGCUUCUAAGCUUCAGGUAACCAGGAACCGUACCCCAAACCGACACAGGUGGUUGGGUAGAGAAUACCAAGGCGCUUGAGAGAACUCGGGUGAAGGAACUAGGCAAAAUGGCACCGUAACUUCGGGAGAAGGUGCGCCGGUGAGGGUGAAGCAUUUACUGCGUAAGCCCACGCCGGUCGAAGAUACCAGGCCGCUGCGACUGUUUAUUAAAAACACAGCACUCUGCAAACACGAAAGUGGACGUAUAGGGUGUGACGCCUGCCCGGUGCCGGAAGGUUAAUUGAUGGGGUUAGCGCAAGCGAAGCUCUUGAUCGAAGCCCCGGUAAACGGCGGCCGUAACUAUAACGGUCCUAAGGUAGCGAAAUUCCUUGUCGGGUAAGUUCCGACCUGCACGAAUGGCGUAACGAUGGCGGCGCUGUCUCCACCCGAGACUCAGUGAAAUUGAAAUCGCUGUGAAGAUGCAGUGUAUCCGCGGCUAGACGGAAAGACCCCGUGAACCUUUACUAUAGCUUUGCACUGGACUUUGAAUUUGCUUGUGUAGGAUAGGUGGGAGGCUUUGAAGCGUGGACGCCAGUCUGCGUGGAGCCAACCUUGAAAUACCACCCUGGCAACUUUGAGGUUCUAACUCAGGUCCGUUAUCCGGAUCGAGGACAGUGUAUGGUGGGUAGUUUGACUGGGGCGGUCUCCUCCUAAAGAGUAACGGAGGAGUACGAAGGUGCGCUCAGACCGGUCGGAAAUCGGUCGUAGAGUAUAAAGGCAAAAGCGCGCUUGACUGCGAGACAGACACGUCGAGCAGGUACGAAAGUAGGUCUUAGUGAUCCGGUGGUUCUGUAUGGAAGGGCCAUCGCUCAACGGAUAAAAGGUACUCCGGGGAUAACAGGCUGAUACCGCCCAAGAGUUCAUAUCGACGGCGGUGUUUGGCACCUCGAUGUCGGCUCAUCACAUCCUGGGGCUGAAGCCGGUCCCAAGGGUAUGGCUGUUCGCCAUUUAAAGUGGUACGCGAGCUGGGUUUAGAACGUCGUGAGACAGUUCGGUCCCUAUCUGCCGUGGACGUUUGAGAUUUGAGAGGGGCUGCUCCUAGUACGAGAGGACCGGAGUGGACGAACCUCUGGUGUUCCGGUUGUCACGCCAGUGGCAUUGCCGGGUAGCUAUGUUCGGAAAAGAUAACCGCUGAAAGCAUCUAAGCGGGAAACUUGCCUCAAGAUGAGAUCUCACUGGAACCUAGAGUUCCCUGAAGGGCCGUCGAAGACUACGACGUUGAUAGGUUGGGUGUGUAAGCGCUGUGAGGCGUUGAGCUAACCAAUACUAAUUGCCCGUGAGGCUUGACCAU